rnacentral:rRNA from 1 species
UACGUAGGUGGCAAGCGUUGUCCGGAAUUAUUGGGCGUAAAGCGCGCGCAGGCGGUCCUUUAAGUCUGAUGUGAAAGCCCACGGCUCAACCGUGGAGGGUCAUUGGAAACUGGGGGACUUGAGUGCAGAAGAGGAAAGUGGAAUUCCAAGUGUAGCGGUGAAAUGCGUAGAGAUUUGGAGGAACACCAGUGGCGAAGGCGACUUUCUGGUCUGUAACUGACGCUGAGGCGCGAAAGCGUGGGGGAGCAAACAGG